GACGAACGCUGGCGGCGUGCCUAAUACAUGCAAGUAGAACGCACAGUUUAUACCGUAGCUUGCUACACCAUAGACUGUGAGUUGCGAACGGGUGAGUAACGCGUAGGUAACCUGCCUGGUAGCGGGGGAUAACUAUUGGAAACGAUAGCUAAUACCGCAUAAUAUUAAUUAUUGCAUGAUAAUUAAUUGAAAGGUGCAAUUGCACCACUACCAGAUGGACCUGCGUUGUAUUAGCUAGUAGGUGAGGUAACGGCUCACCUAGGCGACGAUACAUAGCCGACCUGAGAGGGUGAUCGGCCACACCGGGACUGAGACACGGCCCAGACUCCUACGGGAGGCAGCAGUAGGGAAUCUUCGGCAAUGGACGAAAGUCUGACCGAGCAACGCCGCGUGAGUGAAGAAGGUUUUCGGAUCGUAAAGCUCUGUUGUAAGAGAAGAACGGGUGUGAGAGUGGAAAGUUCACACUGUGACGGUAUCUUACCAGAAAGGGACGGCUAACUACGUG
rnacentral:rRNA from 1 species